rnacentral:rRNA from 1 species
UCUCAGUUCGGAUUGUAGUCUGCAACUCGACUACAUGAAGCUGGAAUCGCUAGUAAUCGCGAAUCAGAAUGUCGCGGUGAAUACGUUCCCGGGUCUUGUACACACCGCCCGUCACACCAUGGGAGUUGGGAAUGCCCGAAGCCGGUGACCUAACCGAAAGGGAGGAGCCGUCGAAGGCAGGCUUGAUAACUGGGGUGAAGUCGUAACAAGGUAGC